rnacentral:lncRNA from 1 species
GGGGGAAGAAGAAAAGAGGAUGCCAGUCCUUGUUCCUAGGCCAAGACCUGAGCCCUGUAAUAUUAAUAUUUGGAUCUAAAAUCAGCCUUCCAACAGCAACAUGAAGUUGGCAGCCUUCCUCCUCCUGUGAUCCUCAUCAUCUUCAGCCUAGAGGUACAAGAGCUUCAGGCUGCAGGAGACCGGCUUUUGGAUACUGCUAAUCAGUCCUAGCACUCUUUCUCUUUGAACCUGGACAAGGUGUCUGACCCUUCUCAACACAGCAUCAGACAGCCACCUCUAUUGACUGAAGUUGACAAUGGAGAAUAAAACUCAUUACCCCUGCUGAAUCCAGGGGCCCCUUUUUACAGAUGAGAAAAGUUCCAGAAAGACCCAGAGACAUAAUCAGGUACCUGCGUCGAGCUCUGCACAGGUGACUGGGACUGCAACCCCGGAGACCACUGUGUCAGCAAUGGGUGUGGCCAUGAGUGUGUUGCAGGGUAAGGACAGAUGAAGAGUUAUCUUAAGGAUCAUCUUUCCCUAAGAUCGUCAUCCCUUCCUGGAGUUCCUAUCUUCCAAGAUGUGACUGUCUGGAGUUCCUUGACUAGGAAGAUGGAUGAAAACAGCAAGCCUGUGGAUGGAGACUACAGGGGAUAUGGGAGGCAGGGAAGAGGGGUUGUUUCUUUUAAUAAAUCAUCAUUGUUAAAAGCACUCAUACUAUUUGAGUUAUUUGGUUAAAGGUGAGGAGGAGGGGGAGGAGGACAGAUGACAU